CAAGCGGUGGAUGAUGUGGUUCAAUUCGAUGCAACGCGAAAAACCUUACCUACCCUUGACAUGCCAGGAAGCCUGAUGAAAGUCGGGUGUGCCCGAAAGGGAACCUGGACACAGGUGCUGCAUGGCUGUCGUCAGCUCGUGUCGUGAGAUGUUGGGUUAAGUCCCGCAACGAGCGCAACCCUUGUCAUUAGUUGCUACAUUCAGUUGGGCACUCUAAUGAGACUGCCGGUGACAAACCGGAGGAAGGUGGGGACGACGUCAAGUCCUCAUGGCCCUUAUGGGUAGGGCCACACACGUCAUACAAUGGCGCAUACAGAGGGAAGCCAACCCGCGAGGGGGAGCAAAUCCCAGAAAGUGCGUCGUAGUCCGGAUUGAAGUCUGCAACUCGACUUCAUGAAGUCGGAAUCGCUAGUAAUCGCGGAUCAGCAUGUCGCGGUGAAUACGUUCCCGGGCCUUGUACACAUC
rnacentral:rRNA from 1 species